GCUUACGGCCACACCGCCUGGUUCACGCCCCAUCUCGUUUGAUCUCGGAAGCUAAGAAAGGGUGGGCCUGGUUAGUACUUGGAUGGGAGACCGCCUGGGAAUACCAGGUGCUGUAAGCU
rnacentral:rRNA from 1 species